rnacentral:rRNA from 1 species
UAGGGAAUCUUCGGCAAUGGACGAAAGUCUGACCGAGCAACGCCGCGUGAGUGAAGAAGGUCUUCGGAUCGUAAAACUCUGUUGUUAGAGAAGAACAAGGACGGUAGUAAGUGAACGUCCCCUGACGGUAUCUAACCAGAAAGCCACGGCUAACUACGUGCCAGCAGCCGCGGUAAUACGUAGGUGGCAAGCGUUGUCCGGAUUUAUUGGGCGUAAAGCGGGCGCAGGUGGUUUCUUAAGUCUGAUGUGAAAGCCCCCGGCUCAACCGGGGAGGGUCGUUGGAAACUGGGAGACUUGAGUGCAGAAGAGGGGAGUGGAAUUCCAUGUGUAGCGGUGAAAUGCGUAGAUAUAUGGAGGAACACCAGUGGCGAAGGCGGCUCUCUGGUCUGUAACUGACGCUGAGGCUCGAAAGCGUGGGGAGCAAACAGG